rnacentral:rRNA from 1 species
UACGGGGGGAGCAAGCGUUGUUCGGAUUUACUGGGCGUAAAGGGCGCGUAGGCGGCCACCGCAAGUCGACUGUGAAAUCUCCAGGCUCAACCUGGAGGGGUCAUUCGAUACUGCCGUGACUAGAGUUCGGUAGGGGAGUGUGGAAUUCCUGGUGGAGCGGUGAAAUGCGCAGAUAUCAGGAGGAACACCCGUAGCGAAGGCGGCACUCUGGGCCGAUACUGACACUGAGGAGCGAAAGCGUGGGGAGCGAACAGG